CUUUACCUGAAUAGAAUUAUCUAAUUUUGUCAGUCAAAACCCAGUGGUCUCAUGCUAUUGGUUUUAGAUUGCAAAUGAUUGACUGGUUGAAUGAUUUUUUUUUUCUGUUUAUAAAAUGGAAGCUUAAGUUAAAACCAUCUGUCCAGAAGAGGAACCUGAGAAUGUACACUGAGUGGUUUUAGGAAGUGCCCAGAAGAGCUUCAUGUUGUUAUGGCCAUACUUUCAGGAAAAGACAAAUGACUUCUUUUAACAUGCAAUUACAGUGAUGAUAUGGUAGCUCGUUUCUGUUUCAGCCCACCAUGUGCCUUGUAGACCCCCUUCAGCGUCUCAUGCCACUAUUAGGUUUGGGGGCUAUGUGCCAGGACUGCAGUGCCAACUACCUUCCUCUCCCACAUGGAUCCAGCCCAGUGGCUCACCUCCAGUGUCCCUGGAUCUAGAGAACUCCCUGCCUGUCAUGCCUACAACAACUUCUUUCCCCCCUUUUAAGUCUACCAGCUUUAUUCCUUUCUUGGUUUAACAUCAACUCUUCUUUCUAUAGGUGUUUGUUCUCACUCCCCAGCUGACCUCAAGCAAGAUGAUAUGAAGGCAGUGUCCCUAUCUCCCACCAGGCAUUCCCUGUUGCACUUCGCACAUAAAUACUGGGGUUCAUCCACUGCAGGAAUAUGGUACCAGGCUAGGGGAAGAGGCAUCAGGAAAGCAGAAGACUCAUCCUGUGGGUCUUGCAUAGUGGCCUUAAAAGAAGGAUACCUGUGGGAAUCUGCCUAGAGUUCCACUCCUUCCUAUUGCCUCAUAAAUCAUGAUCAAAAAAGCAACAAUGGAC
rnacentral:lncRNA from 1 species